UUAUGUUAUAUUGCAUAACGCAAAUUACCCAACAAACCAGAUAAAAGUAUUAUAGAGUAUACAAUGGAAUAUCGGGUAAAUAACCAACCGAAUGGUACCUUUACUACAGCGCUGUACUACAGGCUUACACAGGAAUGCCUUGUUGGGUUGUAUAUAACUCUAAAGAAGUGUGGCACCCUAAGCCAAUUUAUACCACAAGAGUGAGGCUCUUGACGAAGCUAGUCUUAUCUGUGAGAGUGGUGUGUAGCACAGUUGCACAGGUCGAAUUCCUCUGGAGCGAUAAAGUUCUAUCUGGGUGAAACGGAGAGUCAAG